AUCCUACGGGAGGCAGCAGUAGGGAAUCUUCCGCAAUGGGCGAAAGCCUGACGGAGCAACGCCGCGUGAGUGAUGAAGGUCUUCGGAUCGUAAAACUCUGUUAUUAGGGAAGAACAAAUGUGUAAGUAACUAUGCACGUCUUGACGGUACCUAAUCAGAAAGCCACGGCUAACUACGUGCCAGCAGCCGCGGUAAUACGUAGGUGGCAAGCGUUAUCCGGAAUUAUUGGGCGUAAAGCGCGCGUAGGCGGUUUCUUAAGUCUGAUGUGAAAGCCCACGGCUCAACCGUGGAGGGUCAUUGGAAACUGGGAAACUUGAGUGCAGAAGAGGAAAGUGGAAUUCCAUGUGUAGCGGUGAAAUGCGCAGAGAUAUGGAGGAACACCAGUGGCGAAGGCGACUUUCUGGUCUGUAACUGACGCUGAUGUGCGAAAGCGUGGGGAUCAAACAGGAUUAGAUACCCUGGUAGUCCACGCCGUAAACGAUGAGUGCUAAGUGUUAGGGGGUUUCCGCCCCUUAGUGCUGCAGCUAACGCAUUAAGCACUCCGCCUGGGGAGUACGAC
rnacentral:rRNA from 1 species